CCACACACAUAUUUCUCCAAAGAAAUAUACUUCAUCAUUAUAACAUGGCAAAGAACAAAAGAGUCCGAGAACAGUAUAGCAAGAUUGUUCCUUCAGAUGUUGAAAUGCAAUGUGACAGCCAUGGAAGGCUAGUCUUAGCUGGAAUGCCAACGGGGUCAUCUGACAACAGCAAAGACCAAGAAGAAUGUCAAGAGUUAAUUGAUGGCAGUCAGCAGAGACCUCAUGGGCACUUCACUAGUCUCCAUAACUUGUCAGCACACAGAGCAUGCUGGGGACAGGAACUCAACGACAUCCAGGAACACCUG